CCUACGGGUGGCAGCAGUGAGGAAUAUUGGUCAAUGGGCGAGAGCCUGAACCAGCCAAGUCGCGUGAGGGAAGACGGUCCUACGGAUUGUAAACCUCUUUUGUCAGGGAGCAAGGAGCGCCACGAGUGGUGCGGCGAGAGUACCUGAAGAAAAAGCAUCGGCUAACUCCGUGCCAGCAGCCGCGGUAAUACGUAGGUGGCAAGCGUUAUCCGGAUUUACUGGGUGUAAAGGGCGUGUAGGCGGGAAAGCAAGUCAGAUGUGAAAACCAUGGGCUCAACCUGUGGCCUGCAUUUGAAACUGUUUUUCUUGAGUACUGGAGAGGCAGACGGAAUUCCUAGUGUAGCGGUGAAAUGCGUAGAUAUUAGGAGGAACACCAGUGGCGAAGGCGGUCUGCUGGACAGCAACUGACGCUGAGGCGCGAAAGCGUGGGGAGCAAACAGGAUUAGAUACCCCGGUAGUC
rnacentral:rRNA from 1 species